CUUCAUCAGUGGUGCUUGCAGCAAGCAGCAUAAGCAUUUGAAGUACUGCGAUUAUCUGAAUGGUAUGUACAGAAAACUGCCAUGCUCUGAGUAUAUGAUUCUGGUGUUGCAGAAUAUACUUUAUUUAAACUUCUGUAAUGUGAUGGACUCUUGCAGAAGGAUGACAUGGACAAAUUGGAAAAUGUAAGGUACAACGUGUCUCCUUUCUGAAGCUGAUAAAGAAGGGGAGRAGAAUUUUACAUAAGUUUUCUUUCAUCCUGGAACUAAAAAUCCUGCCAGGAAGUGAUUGCCAGCAAUUGACAGAAGUUGGAGCUGCUGAGCCCUUAGCCCUCAGGUUUCAUGCGUUGUUCCCUCAGCACGCCUGCUCUGACCCGAGGCAGAGGUGUGGAGGCUCUCGCAGGAACACCGGAGCUGAACGAACUUUGACAGAUCGUCUCUUCUGAGGAGUCGGGCCCUGCGCAGCCGCCUCUCCGUGCCGUGCUCGAGGCCAUCCAUCACCGGGAAGGAGACUUGCCCGUGUGUGAUGACGCUAAUUUUCUGACUGAAAAAGCAGACGUGCGGUGUGCUUUCCCAUAAGCAGUGUCAUGGUCUUYGUACCACGUGCAGCCAGCUGCUGAGUAAGGGUUUGAGCCAAAGCCCACUGAGUCAGAGGGAACCUCUCCUCGGACAUCAGGAGCCUCCAGAGCCCUUCUGCAGGGGCUCAAUGUCUUUAAGCAAUAACUUUAUACAGUGAAGGAUGCUGAUUUGGCCAGUAACCUUCAGAAGAGGCUUCAGAAGGUUAUACCCAGCUUCUACUUCUGAAUAGUCUAGCUUUGAUUUUCCUCACAGUUCCACUGAAGAAACCCGUUAGUAUCUUGUUUGCCCUGUUUUGUAUCAUACUAUGAUUUUUUGAUUUUGUUGCCAACACCUUUCUCAUAGUUUUUGGAGACAAACCAAUAGCUUUAAAGAUUAAUAGCCUGCCAAAAUGCCUGCAGGAUCUCCACAUCUGAUAAAAUAACUACCCAUAAUUUACAAAUCUUUUAAAUUUGGAAGCACAUGUGGACCACGGCAAAAGAACUUCUGUUUUAACAGAGUAGAGAACUCUUUUCAGUGUUUUUUGUAAGAAUAAUCUCUAUACUUUCAGGACAUUGUUCAGUCUUUCUUACUAGCUCUGAUGAAAGUGAAACCUUUGCAUUAGCUCUGUAGUAAGACACAACUCAGACAAUUGUUUGUUCCUUAAUUUCUGGUGAAGAAAGUUGUAGGUUUUAUGUAUGCUCAACAGAAGGUGUGGCUCUUAGUGUUAUAUAAAGACUGAAAACAAGUAAUCUUUGAAAA
rnacentral:lncRNA from 1 species